GUGCUCUCUUCAGCAGCACUCAUACUAAAACUGGAACAAUACAGAGCAGAUUAGCCCGGCCCCUGUGCAAGGAUAAUACAAAAACUCGUUAAGUGUCCCAUAGUUUU